UUUAGUUAGCUUCUCUUUAUAUGAGAAUUCAAAAUUUCAAAAUUAGUGACACAUCAAAUUAUGCAACUUGCUGCGAUUUCAUUGAUCCAAAAAAAUAUUUUUAGUUUUCAUUUAUUGCUAUUCUUAUCCAAUUAUGAAUAUUUUUCUAAAGCUAAAUAAACUAAUCUCACCCUUUAUCGCACCAUAUCGGUGUAGCCUACCCACACCGAAUAAGUGACCUCAAUAUUCCCUCAACCAAGUGGACCCACCCGUUAACAAUACACGACAACGACCCAUAACAAUAAUAUACACACGAAAAGGGAGAAGAAAACAGGAGGGAGGAACUUCCAUGAAUGCACCAUGAGCUUCUCCACAAAACGAUUCCAUUAACAAUAGCAUACUGUACCCAUUCUUAACAAUUUCAACAAUUAACAACCAUAACUGACAACAAUCAGCAACAUCACUCCUUUCGACUCCAAUUUUCUCAUCAGAAAACACCAUUGAAACCACCCUCCACCAUUGAUUUUUCAGUGAACAAUGACCAAUAUCGUCUCCUCUUUUGAACCAGUUCUGGAUCCUACCAGAACACUUCCUCCACCUAUUUCUUCAUUGGAAAAAUCCACCCUCACCUUCAUCCCUCGAACUCCGACUACGGCCGCUCCAAAAUGGGUCGUUUUGUUAUCAAACAGGUCGUUUGAACUUGGUUUUGUUCGGGUUGGUUAUUUUGAUUUGAGGUGGCUUAGAGAGAUGGUAAGACCCAAUUUGGCAAAGAGAGAAGGAGAAGAGUUUGAACAAAAAAUUUAUGCGGUGGAAAUUCGACGGGAAGAUACGUCUUAUGAAAAUUAGGUGAUAUGUCCGUAGUGUGUCUUUUGUGUACCUUAUGUUUUGGUUUGCUUGGUCGGCCUAUGAUACCUAUUGAGUACAAGUGGACCGUACUCACUCCUACUAUAUCCUUCUAGUGCAGAUUCAAGUUUGAGUACACCCUACAUUGCUGUUUAACUCAGGCGAUUAUUGGAGCUUUCAAGGUAGUUGAUGAUUUUCAGGCAUCCGGAUGUCUACUGCUACCUUUCUUUAUAGACUAUGUCUUGAUUUCAUUUCAGAGAUAGAUUUUCUCUUGUAUUUAGAUAUCUUAUGUAUUUCCUUGGAUUCGAGUUGUACUAGAUAUAUUCUUAUACUGUUGACACCUAGUUUUGAGAGUUAUGGCUGCAUUGUUAUGUUCUUUUUACAU